rnacentral:rRNA from 1 species
UGGGGAAUUUUGGACAAUGGGGGAAACCCUGAUCCAGCCAUCCCGCGUGUGCGAUGAAGGCCUUCGGGUUGUAAAGCACUUUUGGCAGGAAAGAAACGUCGCGGGUUAAUACCCCGCGAAACUGACGGUACCUGCAGAAUAAGCACCGGCUAACUACGUGCCAGCAGCCGCGGUAAUACGUAGGGUGCAAGCGUUAAUCGGAAUUACUGGGCGUAAAGCGUGCGCAGGCGGUUCGGAAAGAAAGAUGUGAAAUCCCAGAGCUUAACUUUGGAACUGCAUUUUUUAACUACCGGGCUAGAGUGUGUCAGAGGGAGGUGGAAUUCCGCGUGUAGCAGUGAAAUGCGUAGAUAUGCGGAGGAACACCGAUGGCGAAGGCAGCCUCCUGGGAUAACACUGACGCUCAUGCACGAAAGCGUGGGGAGCAAACAGGAUUAGAUACCCUGGUAGUCCACGCCCUAAACGAUGUCAACUAGCUGUUGGGGCCUUCGGGCCUUGGUAGCGCAGCUAACGCGUGAAGUUGACCGCCCUGGGGAGUACGGUCGCAAGAUUAAAACUCAAAGGAAUU